GCAUCUAUAGUGUAGUGGUUAGCACGUCUGCUUUACAUAUAGAAGAUUCUGGGUCCGUUCCCCAGGUAGAGGCA
rnacentral:tRNA from 1 species